GAUGAACGCUGGCGGCGUGCCUAAUACAUGCAAGUCGAACGAGGUGCUCUUGUAGCAAUACGAGGGUAUCCUAGUGGCGAACGGGUGAGUAACGCGUUGGUGACCUGCCCCAAAGUGUGGGAUAACAGUCCGAAAGGAUUGCUAAUACCGCAUGUGGUCCCCGGAUUUAGAAACCGGUGACUAAAGCAGCAAUGCGCUUUGGGAGGGACCUGCGUCCCAUCAGCUAGUUGGUGAGGUAACGGCCCACCAAGGCUUCGACGGGUAGGGGGCCUGAGAGGGUGGCCCCCCACAAUGGAACCGAAACACGGUCCAUACGCCUACGGGUGGCAGCAGUAGGGAAUAUUGCACAAUGGGCGAAAGCCUGAUGCAGCAACGCCGCGUGAGCGAUGAAGGCCUUCGGGUCGUAAAGCUCUUUUCUGGGAGAUGAGAAAGGACAGUAUCCCAGGAAUAAGUCUCGGCUAACUACGUGCCAGCCGCCGCGGUAAUAC
rnacentral:rRNA from 1 species